rnacentral:rRNA from 1 species
CCUACGGGAGGCAGCAGUAGGGAAUAUUGGACAAUGGGCGAGAGCCUGACCCAGCCAUGCCGCGUGCCGGAUGAAGGCCUUCUGGGUUGUAAACGGCUUUUCUCAGGGAAGAAAAAGGUGAUGCGUCACAAACUGACGGUACCUGAGGAAUAAGCACCGGCUAACUCCGUGCCAGCAGCCGCGGGUAAU